GCCUCCAGCAGGGUCAGAAUGGUUGUCGCAGAAGGAUCGAUCCGAUCAUCCGUAUCCAUCUGUAUCCCUCCAGAGACAACAAAAAGGAGAUGAGGCAUUGGGAUUCAACAAGCAAUCCAGAUGUAUACCUCUAGAGCUCGUCUGUGUAUGCCCUUUGUACAACCGUUGUUCGGCAGCCUCAUCUCCAUGGUCAUGAAACCUGCAGUGGCAUCCUGAUUCAAAAGAAAAAAAAAGAAUUAUCUAUGCUGCACCAAUGAGUAUUUCCAACAUUCAAGAAACAACAGUGAUGGCAAUGAUAUGCAGCAUUGAUAAAGACAAGCUGAUAAUAUACUGGCAAUGCUGUAUAUCUCUGGGAAAUCAGUAGCAUUUGUGUCGAUGAACACAGGCUGGCUUUACUAGGCAAUUAAGCUCACCUCUGUAUCAGGCUUUGCCAGAAAAAUAAGCAGUGCAAAGUUUAGGAAAA